ACUCCUACGGGAGGCAGCAGUGGGGAAUAUUGCACAAUGGGCGCAAGCCUGAUGCAGCCAUGCCGCGUGUAUGAAGAAGGCCUUCGGGUUGUAAAGUACUUUCAGCGGGAGGAAGGGAGUAAGUUAAUACCUUUGCUCAUUGACGUUACCCGCAGAAGAAGCACCGGCUAACUCCGUGCCAGCAGCCGCGGUAAUACGGAGGGUGCAAGCGUUAAUCGGAAUUACUGGGCGUAAAGCGCACGCAGGCGGUUUGUUAAGUCAGAUGUGAAAUCCCCGGGGCUCAACCUGGGAACUGCAUCUGAUACUGGCAAGCUUGAGUCUCGUAGAGGGGGUAGAAUUCCAGGUGUAGCGGUGAAAUGCGUAGAGAUCUGGAGGAAUACCGGUGGCGAAGGCGGCCCCCUGGACGAAGACUGACGCUCAGGUGCGAAAGCGUGGGGAGCAAAC
rnacentral:rRNA from 1 species